rnacentral:tRNA from 1 species
GAGGGUAUAGCUCAGUGGUAGAGUGCAUGCCUAGCAUGCAUGAGGUCCUGCAUUCAAUUCCCAGUACCUCCA